UACGGAGGGUGCAAGCGUUAUCCGGAUUUACUGGGCUUAAAGGGUGCGCAGGCGGAUAUGUAAGUCAGUGGUGAAAUCUCCAGGCUUAACCUGGAAAUUGCCGUUGAUACUAUAUAUCUUGAAUGCUGUGGAGGUAAGCGGAAUAUGUCAUGUAGCGGUGAAAUGCUUAGAGAUGACAUAGAACACCUAUUGCGAAGGCAGCUUACUACGCAGAUAUUGACGCUCAUGCACGAAAGCGUGGGGAUCAAACAGG
rnacentral:rRNA from 1 species